ACACAAAUAUAUACACACAUAUAUACACACACACAUACACUCCCUUCUUUGCCUAUGGGCUCCCUAAUGCGCAGGAGGGCCAAUGGGGAGAGCACUCUCUAAUUGACUCUGCUUUGUGUACAGUUUUGUUCCUGUUCUCUUGACUGUCUGUGUUGUUACUGAACCUCCAGUCUCCACUCCGCUGCACCGUAGAACUACACAAUGGCUGUUUCCUGAUAAUAUCUCUUGACUGUCUGUGUUGUUACUGAACCUCCAGUCUCCACUCCGCUGCACCGUAGAACUACACAAUGGCUGUUUCCUGAUAAUGUCUCCUGAAGUGUACACACGUUCACUACUUCUCACAAAUCUAAAGGCAUUGGAUUGGUCGAGGCAUGGGUUAGAGGGUUUUCACCAUAUUUCUAUAUUCCAGUCAUUUUCUUUCAAAUCAGUGAAGGAAUGUGAACAAGUGCACACUUUGGGAGGAAGGAGAGAGGUGUCCCACUAUCAAUGGAACCAACAGUCACUCUUGUAAGCACAACUGUAAACAGUAUGAUCUACCGGCUGGUUCUGCUAUAGCCUCCGUCCUCACACCUGAGCCUUGAUCAAAACAAAUAAAUGUUUUCUUUGCAUCAUGACCCAUCGCCAAAGAUCCAUUCAGAUAUUAUUGUUAAGAUCAGAUUGCAUCUCUUGCCAUUACUUACAUUUCUAGCCUGGGUUAUCAUGGCUCUGGGAGAUCUUAAUGUGUGACGCAGACCAGGUUCCCGUCAGAUUUAUGGACCUCUUGACUUCCCUUCUCUCCUUUGCCCCUCUCUUUCUUCUCCCCACAUCUGUCCAUCUAUCAUUCCCAUGGCCAAUGGAAGAGAAUUAAUCCCUCCAUCCCAUACCUCACUAUCCUGGACAGAUGAGAAUGUGGAGGAGGGGAGAGAGAGGAGAGGCUUGGAUUAGCUUUCAUAAUAUUUCUCUAACAUUGAGGGGGAAAACGAGUCAAAUUACACAUAAUAUAUGCAGGGUUAUCGUUCACUUCUCUUAAGGUGGUCGCUUCUUUGAUACCACCAACAGGUGUGUAUUGGUGUGUGCAGGCCACGGGCCAUAGCAUAAUGUGUGGUGGCGUGAUGUGAGUGUGUUUGUGUAUGCAUGUGUGUGUUUUGCACAUGUGUGUACUGGGUAUCUGAAACAUGAAGGUGCACAGUACUACCAAGGUACAUUCAAUUAUCUCAAUUAAAAAUGUUUCCCUUCAUACCAAACAAAUGACAUUCUCAACGCUUCGUCUCCUGACCUGGACAUUUUUUUUUCAAGUUGUUAUUUUUAGACAACAGCACACAUCCACAUAACAACAUAGAGUAUCUGAUGCAACCCUGUUAAAGCAGCCAGACACACACUGGCACACAAACACCCGGAAUUCAAUACGAAAUUCAAUAACCUCAAGACAAUCAAUUAGUUAAUGAGGACAUUUAAUUACUGCAGUACUGGAGGGCGUCUUUUCAUGUAAUUGUUUGGGGGAAGGACGGAGAAAAAGAACGGUAUGAAACCUUUAACCAAUAGUCAAGGCACUGUAUUGGCCAGUCCUCAUCUCUUCCAUCCUCACUCCCCCUCCACCCACCUCACUCAAGGCCCAGCCUCCUUCCCCAGCCUUCACCGAGCAGUGACAGGUAGAUUAAAGGGCGUGAUAGAUGUCCCUCUCUCUAUCUCCCUCUCUCCAUCUCCUCCCUCCCUCGCUCCCGCUCGCUCUCCCUCCAUCUAUCACUGGACCUGCUGUAAUUGCGGCUGCGUCGAGCUGGCACUGCAAGCCUCCAUCCAUCUCCUUAAUAACAAACAGUCAUGGAAACGGAUGGGGCUCCAGCCCAGACUUAAUCUCCAUCUAUAAGGAGAGUGGAGGAGGGAGGGAGAGAGAGAGGGAACUAGGGAGAGAAACAGGGGGAGAAAAUGAGAUAAUGGCGAAAGGCAGUGAUGACUUCUCCAAACGAAGAGAAACAUGAAAUGAUGGAGGGAUGGAGAGGAGGAGAGUAGGGCUUGAGUGGGAGAGAGAGGGGUUAAGUGUAGUGAAUGAAGUACAGUCUCAAACCAGGUGGAGACAGAAAUGCAGACAGGCUGAGAGAGAAUAAGUUCACAGACAAUACUGUACUGUAAGAACAUGGUGAUGAAAAUGGGCUGAGAGAGAGAGAGAGAGAGAGAGAGAGAGAGAGAGCGAGAGAGAGAGAGAGAGAGAGAAUUUAUGUCCAUGCGGCCAGACAACCCAGAAACCGGAGAGGCACACGCUCAUAAAAAAGCACUCUGCCACUCCCCUCCGUGC
rnacentral:lncRNA from 1 species